UGAUACGGUGAAUACGUUCCCGGACCUUACACACCGCCCGUCAAGCCAUGGAAGCUGGGUGUACCUAAAGUCGGUAACCGUAAGGAGCCGCCUAGGGUAAAACUAGUAACUGGGGCU
rnacentral:rRNA from 1 species